GAAGCUGCGGCGUUCCGGCCAGAUCCCUGUGUCGAUGACGGCAAUGACGAGAUCGGAGCCGAAGCCGGACUCGGCGAGGAGGCCGGAGGUGUCGUCGGACUUGAGACCGAGGAACUGCGGGGAGCGGGUGGUGUGGGGAUGGCGGAUCUGUUCGGGGAAGACAGCAACGACGCCGGGGGAGGCAGAGAGUGCAGCGGCGGCGGCGGGGGAUAGGCGGGCGGAGAAGCCGUGGAAGACGGAGGAGUAAGUGUGAAUGAGCGGGCCGCCCGGGGGAAAGGGGGCAACGACGCCGUCGCUGG
rnacentral:misc_RNA from 1 species